rnacentral:lncRNA from 1 species
CCUCAUCCAAUUUUUGCCCAAAUUAAAUCCUACAAGUCCCAAAUCAUGUACCAAUCAUGUCUAAACCAAGGGCAAGCUUCAAACCAAGGCAACACAAAAUCUAGGUAUCCAAAACCCCUCAAUUUAAUGGAUUUUCAAGGUUUGAGAAGUGAAAUUGAGAAUGGGGUAAAUUUGGAGCAAACUCUCACCUCACACAAGUCUAUAACAUCAAUUUAAACUUGCUCAAACUGGAUUUACACCUAAAAUUCCACCGAAUCAAAAUUUGACUCCUCAACACCCAAUUUUAACCUAGAAAUGGCCCUUUGUUCACUUUGGUCAUUUGUUUUUCUCUCUUGCACAGCCCAAGCUUUCUCAUAAGUCCUAAAUGACAUUUCAAACUAGGAUUAACUCACUUUAACCUCCAAAUACCACUAAAUCCAUGUUUGGCCUUCCAACUCUCCAAGACUCACUCUUUUUCCACUCAUAACACCAUAUUCUCACUUUCUAACCCUAGGUUAACUCUACCCUUCAUCCCUAGCAGUUUUCCAUAAGCAAUUUCAGCACAUAAACAUCAC